rnacentral:rRNA from 1 species
UCCAGCCAUGCCGCGUGCAGGAAGACUGCCCUAUGGGUUGUAAACUGCUUUUAUAUAGGAAGAAACCCAACCACGUGUGGUUGGCUGACGGUACUGUAUGAAUAAGCACCGGCUAACUCCGUGCCAGCAGCCGCGGUAAUAAUCACU